GCGGCUGAUUAGCUUGUUGGUGAGGUAAUGGCUCACCAAGGCGACGAUCAGUAUCUGGUUUGAGAGGACGAUCAGACACACUGGAACUGAGACACGGUCCAGACUCCUACGGGAGGCAGCAGUAGGGAAUUUUCCGCAAUGGGCGAAAGCCUGACGGAGCAAUCUCGCGUGAGGGAUGACGGCCUAUGGGUUGUAAACCUCUUUUUUCAGGGAGGAAUAACUGACGUGUACCUGAAGAAUAAGCAUCGGCUAACUCCGUGCCAGCAGCCGCGGUAAGACGGAGGAUGCAAGUGUUAUCCGGAAUCACUGGGCGUAAAGCGUCUGUAGGUGGUUUAAUAAGUCAACUGUUAAAUCUUAAAGCUUAACUUUGAAAUCGCAGUCGAAACUAUUAGACUAGAGUAUAGUAGGGGUAAAGGGAAUUUCCAGUGGAGCGGUGAAAUGCGUAGAGAUUGGAAAGAACACCGAUGGCGAAGGCACUUUACUGGGCUAUUACUAACACUCAGAGACGAAAGCUAGGGUAGCAAAUGGGAUUAGAUACCCCAGUAGUCCUAGCCGUAAACAAUGGAUACUAGAUGUUGAACAGAUCGACCUGUGCAGUAUCAAAGCUAACGCGUUAAGUAUCCCGCCUGGGAAGUAUGCUCGCAAGAGUGAAACUCAAAGGAAUUGACGGGGCGUCCUCUCCACAACGGAUCUGAGAUAUUUCUUGUCCUUCAGUCACUUGCUUUGCCAAUUCUGUAUUGAUGUACCAAGGUGUCACACAAUUGACUCUGAUUCCAUCUUUACCCCAUUCGCAAGCCCAAUUGCCUGUGAUUUGAUUCAUGGCAGCCUUUGUAGAAGCGUAGGGUGUUCCACUCUUGAUACAUGUGACUAUGCAUUGCGGCAAUAUCAGAGCAAGGACCAGAGUGACACAUGGUUUCAAAAUAAAGAAUACGCAAAAAGCAACUUACCACCUGCGACUGAUCCCAAUAUUAAUCACAGAGCUUGGGUUUGCACCUUUCUUCCUCUUGAGCAAGUGAUGACAUGCAGUUGUCAACGAAAACAUGGAAUGGAAGUUGGUGUUGAAUACUUUUUGAACAUCCUCGGGUGUAUAGUCAAUUGAGGGUUUGCGAAUGUUCGUUCCUACGUUGUUGACAA
rnacentral:rRNA from 1 species